CUGCAAUAUGUGGGGCUGUGAUGUGUGGGGCUGUGAUAUGUGGGGCUGCAAUGUGGGGGUUGAGGAAUACAACGUGGGGCAGAGAGCUGUAAUGUGUAGGGCAGAGAUGUGGGGCUGUGAUGUGUGGGGCUGAGGGCUGUGAUGGGGGGCUGUGAUGGGGGGUUGAGGACUACAAUGUGGGGCUGAGGGCUGUAAUGUGUGGGGCUGCGAUAUGUGGGGCUGAGGGCUGCAAUGUGUGGGGCUGUGAUGUGUGGGGCUGAGAUGUGGGGCUGCGAUGUGGGGUAGAGGGCUGCAAUGUGUGGGGCUGCAAUGUGUGGGGCUGCAAUGUGUGGGGCUGCGAUGUGGGGCUGAGACGUGGAGGGCAGGGACAGACAGACGGAUGUGGAUGGGGACAGACAGACACGGAUGGGGACAGACAGACAGACAUGGAUGGGGACAGACGGACACAGAUGGGGACAGAGAGGCACAGACAGAUGGGGACAGACAGACACGGAUGGGGACAGACAGACGGACACAGAUGGGGACAGACGGACACAGACAGAUGGGGACAGACAGACAGACACAGAGGGGGACAGACGGACACAGAUGGGGACAGACAGACGGACGUGGAUGGGGACAGACAGACACAGACAGAUGGGGACAGACAGACACAGAUGGGGACAGACAGACACGGAUGGGGACAGACAGACGGACAUGGAUGGGGACAGACGGACGGACGUGGAUGGAUGGGGAUAAGGACAGACAGACGGACGUGGAUGGGGACAGACGGACAGAUGGGGACCGGGACAGAUGGGGACAGACAGAGAUGGAUGGGGAUAAGGACAGACAGACAGACACGGAUGGGGACAGACGGACAGACACGGACAGGAACAGAUGGGGACAGACGGACAUAUGGGGCCAGAUGGGGAUAAGGACAGACAGACAGACAGACCGGGACAGACAGACGGACGUGGAGGGGGACAGACGGACAUAGGGAGAAGGGGACACAGAUGGGGACGGACAGACAGACAGUGAUAAGGACAGACAGACAUGGAUGGGGACAGACAGACACAGAUGGGGACAGACAGACGGACGUGGAUGGGGACAGACGGACAUAUGGGGCCAGAUAGGGAUAAGGACAGACAGACAGAUGGACCGGGACAGACAGACGGACGUGGAGGGGGACAGACGGACACUGAUGGGGACAGACGGACGGACGGGGACUGGGACAGAUGGGGACAGACAGACAGACGGGGAUAAGGACAGACAGACGGACAGACCGGGACAGACAGACGGACGUGGAGGAGGACAGACAGACACGGAUAGGGACAGACGGACAGACGGGGACAGGGACAGAUGGGGACAGAAAGACAGAUGGGGAUAAGGACAGACAGACGGACGUGGAGUGGGACAGACGGACAUAUGGGGACAGAUGGGGACAGACAGAGACAGAUGGGGAUAAGGACAGACAGACAGACAGACCGGGACAGACAGACAGACGUGGAGGGGGACAGACGGACAGACGGGGAGGGGGACAGAUGGGGACAGACGGACAGAUGGCGAUAAGGACAGACAGACGGACGUGGAGGAGGACAGACGGACACAGAUAGGGACAGAUGGACAUAUGGGGCCAGAUGGGGAUAAGGACAGACAGACAGACAACAGACAGACAGACGGACGUGCAGCGGGACAGACGGACAGACGGGGACAGAUGGGGAUAAGGACAGACAGACGGACGUGGAGGAGGACAGACGGACAUAGGGAGAAGGGGACACAGAUGGGGACGGACAGACAGACAGUGAUAAGGACAGAUGGACAUGGAUGGGGACAGACAGACACAGAUGGGGACAGACGGACACAGAUGGGGACAGACAGACGGACGUGGAUGGGGACAGACAGACACAGAUGGGGACAGACGGACACAGAUGGGGACAGACAGACGGACACAGAUGGGGACAGACAGACAUGGAUGGGGACAGACAGACAGACAUGGAUGGGGACAGACAGAUGGACACGGAUGGGGACAGACAGACGGACAUGGAUGGGGACAGACAGACACAGAUGGGGACAGACGGACAGACGGAGACGGAUGGGGAUAUGGACAGACAGACGGACAGAUGGGGACAGACGGACACAGAUGGGGACAGACGGACGGACGUGGAUGGGGACAGACGGCGAUGGGGACAUAUGGGGCCAGAUGGGGAUAAGGACAGACAGACAGAUGGACCGGGACAGACAGACGGACGUGGAGGGGGACAGACGGACACUGAUGGGGACAGACAGACGGACGGGGACUGGGACAGAUGGGGACAGAUGGGGAUAAGGACAGACAGACGGACGUGGAGGGGGACAGACGGACACUGAUGGGGACAGACGGACAGACGGGGACUGGGACAGAUGGGGACAGACAGACAGACGGGGAUAAGGACAGACAGACGGACAGACCGGGACAGACAGACGGACGUGGAGGAGGACAGACAGACACGGAUAGGGACAGACGGACAGACGGGGACAGGGACAGAUGGGGACAGAAAGACAGAUGGGGAUAAGGACAGACAGACGGACGUGGAGUGGGACAGACGGACACAGAUAGGGACAGAUGGACAUAUGGGGCCAGAUGGGGAUAAGGACAGACAGACAGACAACAGACAGACAGACGGACGUGCAGCGGGACAGACGGACAGACGGGGACCGGGACAGAUGGGGACAGACGGACAGACGGCGAUAAGGACAGACAGAUGGACAGGGAUGGGGACAGACAGACAGACGUGGAUGGGGACAGACGGCAUAGGGACAUACGGGGCCAGAUGGGGAUAAGGACAGACGGACGGACACGGAUGGGGACAGACGGACAGACGGGGACAGGGACAGAUGGGGACAGACGGACAGAUGGGGACAGAUGGGGAUAAGGACAGACAGACGGACAUGGAUGGGGACAGACGGCAGUGGGGACAGAUGGGGAUAAGGACAGACAGACAGACAUGGAGGGGGACAGACGGACAGACGGGGACAGAUGGGGAUAAGGACAGACAGACGGACGUGGAUGGGGACAGACGGACAGACGGGGACAGGGACAGAUGGGGACAGACGGACAUAUGGGGCCAGAUGGGGAUAAGGACAGACAGACAGACAGACCGGGACAGACAGACGGACGUGGAGGGGGACAGACGGACACAGAUGGGGACAGACAGACAGACAUGGAGGAGGAGAGACAGACACAGACAGAUGGGGACAGACAGACACAGAUGGGGACAGACAGACGGACGUGGAUGGAUGGGGAUAAGGACAGACAGACGGACGUGGAGGGGGACAGACGGACAUAUGGGGACCGGGACAGAUGGGGACAGACAGACGGACGUGGAGGGGGACAGACGGACAGACGGGGACCGGGACAGAUGGGGACAGACGGACAGAUGGCGAUAAGGACAGACAGAUGGACAGGGAUGGGGACAGACAGACAGACGUGGAUGGGGACAGACGGCAUAGGGACAUACGGGGCCAGAUGGGGAUAAGGACAGACGGACGGACACGGAUGGGGACAGACGGACAGAUGGGGACAGGGACAGAUGGGGACAGACGGACAGAUGGGGACAGAUGGGGAUAAGGACAGACAGACCGACGUGGAGGGGGACAGACGGACAUGGGGAGAAGGGGACACAGAUGGGGACGGACAGACAGACGGACAUGGAUGGGGACAGACAGACACAGAUGGGGACAGAUGGAUGGACACAGAUGGGCACAGACAGACAGACAUGGAGGGGGACAGACGGACACAGAUGGGGACAGACAGACGGACACAGAUGGGGACAGACAGACGGACGUGGAUGGGGACAGACAGACACAGAUGGGGACAGACAGACAGACAUGGAGGAGGAGAGACAGACACAGACAGAUGGGGACAGACAGACACAGAUGGGGACAGACAGACGGACGUGGAUGGAUGGGGAUAAGGACAGACAGACGGACGUGGAGGGGGACAGACGGACAUAUGGGGACCGGGACAGAUGGGGACAGACAGACGGACACAGAUGGGGACAGACGGACGGACGUGGAUGGGGACAGACAGACACAGAUGGGGACGGACAGACAGACAGUGAUAAGGACAGAUGGACAUGGAUGGGGACAGACAGACACAGAUGGGGACAGACAGACGGACAGAUGGGGACAGACGGACAGACGGACACGGAUGGGGACAGACAGACAGACAUGGAUGGGGACAGACGGACACAGACAGAUGGGGACAGACAGACACAGAUGGGGACAGACAGACAGACACGAAUGGGGACAGACAGACAGACACAGAUGGGGACAGACAGACAGACACAGAGGGGGACAGACAGACAGAUGGGGACAGACAGACAGACGGACACGGAUGGGGACAGACAGACGGACAUGGAUGGGGACAGACGGACAGACGGGGCCGGAUGGGGAUAAGGACAGACAGACGGACGUGGAGGGGGACAGACGGACAUAUGGGGACAGAUGGGGAUCAGGACA
ensembl:lncRNA